rnacentral:rRNA from 1 species
UACGUGGGGGCCGAGCGUUGUCCGGAGUUACUGGGCGUAAAGGGCGCGCAGGCGGCGGCGUGGGUCCGGCGUGAAAGCCCCCGGCUCAACCGGGGAACGUCGUCGGGGACCGCGCCGCUUGAGGGCGGCAGGGGCCGGUGGAAUGCCUGGUGUAGUGGUGAAAUGCGUAGAGAUCAGGCGGAACACCCGUGGCGAAGGCGGCCGGCUGGGCCGUCCCUGACGCUGAGGCGCGAAGGCGUGGGGGAGCGAACGGGG